rnacentral:rRNA from 1 species
CAGUGGCGAACGGGUGAGUAACACGUGGGCAAUCUGCCCUGCACUCUGGGACAACACCGGGAAACCGGUGCUAAUACCGGAUAUGACGCAUCUCUGCAUGGGGGUGCGUGGAAAGCUCCGGCGGUGCAGGAUGAGCCCGCGGCCUAUCAGCUUGUUGGUGGGGUGAUGGCCUACCAAGGCGACGACGGGUAGCCGGCCUGAGAGGGCGACCGGCCACACUGGGACUGAGACACGGCCCAGACUCCUACGGGAGGCAGCAGUGGGGAAUAUUGCACAAUGGGCGAAAGCCUGAUGCAGCGACGCCGCGUGAGGGAUGACGGCCUUCGGGUUGUAAACCUCUUUCAGCAGGGAAGAAGCGCAAGUGACGGUACCUGCAGAAGAAGCACCGGCUAACUACGUGCCAGCAGCCGCGGUAAUACGUAGGGUGCGAGCGUUGUCCGGAAUUAUUGGGCGUAAAGAGCUCGUAGGCGGCCUGUCGCGUCGGAUGUGAAAGCCCGGGGCUUAACC